GACUCUGAUCUGACAACCACAGAUGGAAAAGGAGAGGCGGAGUGGGCCCCGGGAGGCUACAAGGUGUUCCCAGGAUCCAGCUCUCGGGAGACUGGAGACUCACCCCCUCGCCUAGUCACAGUCCCGGCACCGUGUCCGCAGUGGUGAUUUUAAAUAAUUCUCUCAAGUAUUGAUCUCUGCUCCCCCCAGAGUUUAACGGAUUUUAUUCUUUGGCUGCCUUUACACGGGGUAUCGUGAAGAGACAGAAGAGGAUGCGAAACUCAGGAUUAUAAUUGGUCUCAGCCUACUAUUACAGAGACAAACAACUUUUGCACCGCCCCGCUUGGGAAAAUGCUCUCCCAGUCUCAAGAAAAUUGAUCGAGCCAGUUUAACAAUAAGGUUGGCAGCGGUGGGAUUCGAACCCACGCCCCCGAAGAGACUGGAGCCUUAAUCCAGCGCCUUAGACCGCUCGGCCACGCUACCGUACAUACGAUAGCCUAAAACUCUUCCUGAUAGUUUAAAAGGUACAAGACUGUUCUUGCACGUGUUAUUUUCUUCUAGAGCCUUUUGUGCUCUGUUUCUGAUACCCGAGGGUAAAGGGAGAGGCAGCCAACGCUCAACAUCCAUCAAACUCGAAAGUAAUUAGCCCUUGACAAAAUGAUCGGAAUUCACCACCGCCGACGCAGCACCGGAACUCUAAGGAUGCUGAGAUCAAGAGUCGCCAAUUUGUCAGCUGCGUUUGGGGAUCGGCAGCGGGAAGUCAUUUCUAAUGUCCGCAACCAGAAAACAGAGGAGCUCCCUUCCUGCUCACCCGGAACUCCGUUCCUGGUUGCUGUGUCUGUGUGUGAAUUCUUGUUGUGAAAGUCGUGGAAGGAAACAACUUCGCAAACAGGCCUACUUUUUUUUUUGCUGAACAUGGUCACGGUCUUCAUUUACAAAGUUCAGGGAGGUAAUCAGUUUGCAUUUGGCGCGGAGCAUCGCAUUCUCUCCGUACUCGCAGAGGACGCGUCCUGCCCUCUCUUACCCCUUGAACGCGAGCUGGGCGGGUCCCUUGGCCCAGGUCUCGGCUUCCAGACCGCUCAUCCUCUCUCUCAGUCCCGCCUGAUCCAUAAGAUGCUGCCUCUUUUGAGCGAGCCCCAGUUCCACCUUUUCAAAUCCCAGCGGCUCCACUUAACAGCCAUAAACCCAUUGGCGAGUCACUUAAGCUUAUCGGGUAUCACUUUCUUCAUAUGUAAAAUGGUG
rnacentral:tRNA from 1 species